AGACUUGAUACAGUGGAAGUGACAUUAUAGCAAAUGUAUCUGAAUGUUGCAUAUACAAGCAUGCUAGGUCCAGGAUGAGGAAAUCUAGGAAAAAACUUAACCAUGACUAAUACAAAACCUCAGCUUAAUGAAAAUUUUGGAAUGGAAAGCAUUGAAUCUCGUCAUAAAGAGUCAUUAUCCUUCAUUUCCGAGUUGGCCCUUGCUAAGCAAAUUGUAGUGGUGGCCAAGAAGAAGAAAUAAAGUUAAUAGGACAAGAUUAUAUACCUAGAUCAUUUAGGAAUACAUAGUAAACAAAGUUUGAUUGGCAAGAGCAGUCAUUUUAGCUUGUCGAUCCAUCCUAUUUAAAACGAUUUUGGA
rnacentral:misc_RNA from 1 species